rnacentral:tRNA from 1 species
GCGUUCGUGUUGGAAAUGGUAGACAUGGGAGGUUGUGAUCCUCCUGCCUUAAGUGGUGUGCGGGUUCGAAUCCCGUCGAUCGCCCCA